rnacentral:rRNA from 1 species
UCUACGGGUGGCUGCAGUGAGGAAUAUUGGUCAAUGGCCGAGAGGCUGAACCAGCCAAGUCGCGUGAGGGAAGAAUGUCCUAUGGAUUGUAAACCUCUUUUGUCAGGGAGCAAAGUCACCCACGUGUGGGUGUUGGAGAGUACCUGAAGAAAAAGCAUCGGCUAACUCCGUGCCAGCAGCCGCGGUAAUACGGAGGAUGCGAGCUUUAUCCGGAUUUAUUGGGGUUAAAGGGGGCGUAGGCGGGUUAUCAAGUCAGCGGUAAAAUCGGGGAGCUCAACUCCAUCCAGCCGUUGAAACUGAUGAGCUGGAGUGGGCGAGAGGUAGGCGGAAUGAGUGGUGUAGCGGUGAAAUGCAUAGAUAUCACGCAGAACACAGAUUGCGAAGGCAGCAUACCGGCGCCCGACUGACGCUGAAGCACGAAAGCGUGGGUAUCGAACAGGAUUAGAUACCCUAGUAGUC